UCACAUCUGUGUUGUUUAAAACUUACAUAAUCUUUUUUUUAAAUCAAAAAGAAGGAGGGGAACGAACAUGCAAAUCCAGCUGAUGAAAAUAGUCAAUCACCCCAAUAUCUAGGACGUUUGUCCAUAGAUCUACCUGAAUAAAACAUUUUGUAAGUAAGGGAAACAAUUAGUCUUAGAAGACUAUUGAAAAUUAUGAUUUCUGGCUAGUGUAGAACUAUUGUGAAUCACACACGAUUAUGCGACCGGCUAAUAUCUGUUCAAAACAAUAGUGACCAGCACAGCAGAACCAUAUGUCACAGCAGUCAUAAGUCAGCAGCUGAAUGAGCAAGACCAGAAAAAAGCCCUUCUGCAGCUUUAACAGGCAGAAACAAAUGAUGAGACCCUGUUGGCCAAGGAGCCUCUCAUGUUUCGCUUUGAAUUUAAGAGUGAUGAGGACAUUUCACUUAAUGAGUGUCUGGACAAAACAUGCCUCAGGAUUAAUUGCAUGCUUUUAAGAUUUUUUUUUUAAUUUAAGAUUAUCGUUAAAUCUAAUUUAGUUAGGUUCAAUUGUUGAUUUAUUGUGCGGCUUCUGUGACAUAACUUUUGCUUGAUUUUGUAAUAGUUUAUGAUGCGUGGUGUAUUUAACUGUUACUUCCCUUUGGGACUUUUACUAUUGAGCUUCCAGACAUGCCUACAUAAACAAAACUGUUAGAAAACCGGUAAAGGCAUGGAACGCAAAAUCGGAGAAAUGAUAAAAAAACUACCUCUGCUGAGUGGAUUUUGCUUACGCUGUUUAUGAGCUUUGCCCGAUAAAAUUAGACCAGUUAACUUGUUUACAAGACCUAACACGUUAUGAGCUUAUUAAGCAUAAUCAGAGUAAAACUGUACAUGUAAACGCACUCAUUAAUAAUAUAAUAGCUUACAACUUUGAAAUGCUCCACAAAGCAAAGUAGUUUGAUAAUGUUUGCUCGUCCAACUUCCGGGAUGAGACUAAUGCAAUGGCGCUGCUUCCUUGUGACUGCUGAGGAGUAUGGUUCUGCAAUCAGCCCUAUCUCGUUCAAAAGCUUAUUUGCAUGUUAAGUUGCCUCACAGUUACAUAAGCAAAAGCUACAUUCAUGUAAGUCAUCAGCAAACAAUCAGGUACAAGCAUUUUGUAACUGGUUAAAAAGCAUAAACACCACAAAUGACCAAUGGAUUUUAAUGUCAUAUUUACAAACAUACAUCAGAUAUAAGAGGGUCAAUUAAACAUAAUUGAACUGCCUUCAACUGUGAGCUGUAAGCAAAUGUUCGUUUUUGAGUUCAGCGCCACAUAAGGUCACUUAAUGACCGUUUCACCAUAGGAGACUGUUCUUUUCAUAGUUCACUGCCAGGCAGCCAGGAUACCAAUAGGUAGACUGACAUCUCUGGACAUUGUGCACAAAAACAAGUAAGUGAUUAGUUCUUAUGAGAUUCUGAUCAGCCAACUAGAAUGAAAAAUCGCAUGCACAGGCUCGGCGUGUUACACGGGAGACCAGACCUGACACUGGAUGAUGAAGUGAGACGUCAGAAGCAGCUAAAGUAAAUUCAUUUAUUGCUUGUGAAGACAAAUCAUAACGAAUGCUUUUCUUUGGAUCUACAUGAUUCAGAGGGGGGAAAAAUACCAAAGUUUAUGUGUACAACGUAAAUAAAUUUUAGACCGUAACGUUGGUGGGUCACAACCCAGAUAUGUUGUAAUAGGUUUCAGUACAUCAAUGGUAAACUAUGCUAAUGUGAAACAUAAUUCCAAAUUUUCCUGAAAUGAAAGAACACACUACACGUAUUUGUCACACCUUGGUCAAUUUGGUAACAUUAGGUUACACCAAUAAACGUACAUGCUACUUAAGGUUACUUAAGUAAAGCAAGUGUAGGUCUAUACCCAGAUAGCAUAAUCCAUCUGGUUUACGUCUAUUUGACGUCUGCAUUGACAUCAGCAAAACAUCUGCAGUUCAUAGUUUGCUCAUCUGCAAUACGUCUCGGAGACGUUUGAACGUCUGUAAUACAUCUGCUAAAGAUCUGCUGUGUAAAAACAUGUACUAAACAUCUUAGAAUGAACAGCUUUACCUCCAUUCUGAAUCAUAAACAUCUUACAGACAUCUUGUAGAUGUCUAUAUGAUGUCUCACAGCAGACGUCUCCGAGACGUAUAGCAGAUGUGCAAACUAUGCAUUGCAGAUGUAAAUGCAGACGUCAAAUAGACUUAAACCAGAUGUAUGUGUGCUAUCUGGGUAUUCUGUAAGGGUUUAUAUAUCACAACCCCCAUUGUGCAUUAACUCCAGAAUAGUUGAACGGACCAGAGUCAAUUAUUCCACUUAUACCGCGGUUACCACACCACAAGAUUGUUGAAAUAUUUAAUUUCAAUGUUUGUCAUGAUAUCGUCUUUAAAAUACUGUUGACGGUAGGACUACUUUGUGAGUUUGUACUUGGACAUCUAUCUUUACGAGGACCAGUUUGAGUUUUAGACCAGCAGAGUGAGGACUAAGAGAGUAAACUGAGGACAUAUUGGCCGGUCCUCACUUUUUGAGACCCCUUUAAAGGGCUGUUUGAGGGUCAAGACCUGGUUUUAGGUUAUAAUUAGGUUUAGGUCAGGUUUAGGGUGAGGUACUCAAUUCUGAUGGUUAGGGGCUAGAGAUUGCAUUGCGUCAAUGUAUGUCCUCAUAAAGAUAGCUGUGCAAACCUGUGUGUGUGUGAAUGAGAGAGCGAGAGAUCGCGCGCACACCUGCGUGUUUGCAGUAACGUGACAGAAAACCCAGUAACAAUAAAUUAAUUAAUUAUUCCUCAUAUUGUUUCUAUCUUCAGCAGUAAAAAUAUAUUUUGAAAGAGUAGGCCUAUCAAAACAUAUUUGUUUUCAGUUAUAAGCAGCAUGAAGAGGAAAACGAACCAGUAGGCUAUCAGUGUUUAUCAAUGCAUUUGUUUUCUAUUUAGUUGAUAUCACUAUAUGUUUUUCUUGUUUUUGAAAUGCUAUGAUUAUUUAAACGAAACUCAACACGUCUCCAUUAACAGUAAUGUUUGAAAUGUCAGAUCAAGAGCAGGGUGCUGUGUGCGGUGAUGGCCUGUAGCUACACAACCUUUCUGGUGUUUAAACUUGGCGAAGUGAUAUUGAACUGUAAUGCGGUCAGCAGACCGGGAACACCUUCAUAGGUGUUCAUUUUACUGAAUGUUAAUGUAUACACAUAAAACGUUGGUCAACCAAUCAGAUUGAAGCAUUCAACGGCUCUGCGGUAUAACGUAAAGGUAACAACUAGGGUUAAAAAAAUACAUUUACAUACAAAGUAGAACUAUACAUGCAAGUCAUUCAAGUUUAACAUGAUCCUAGAUAUAUUCAUAUUUAUUCAAAUCACAAAUCAAUGUGACUGCGGUUACAACUGUGUUUACACUGAGCAACAGGAGCACGUGGUAAACAAACAACGCGCGUCUAGAACAUUCUGAACGUGCGCUUUAUUCAUCAUCAUGACGUCGGAAAGUUUGACACCACACAUGAAUGAACGAACAUGCACCCCCAAAAUGCCUUCCAACUGCACAGUUGCCCCCUGAUCUGAACCGUGAAUGCGAGCUGCAUUAAAUCAGUUAUUGCUGGAUAUGCAAUAUAUUGAAUCUGUAUUCGACUAAUAGUAGGCGGUGUCUCUAUCGUGCGUCUAUAUAUGGCAACGACGGCUCUUUAAUGAAUAAAUACACGAGCAUGUUCACUUAACUGUGACAAACACAACUAUCAGAUGUGUAUAAACUCCAGUAAACACUUAAACAGGCUGACAUUAGCCUCUAGCCACCCUGCUAUCCGCGGGCUAACGGGAUAGUAACGUUACAGGAGCGAGCAUCGGCUUAAGUGUUUAAAUCAGUGCCCGGCGCCAAACCAUUUCGGAUUGAACCGUCUCUGGAAAGCACAGCGAGUGGGCACGCUUGGUAGAAACAUCUAUGCGCGUGUGCCAGUGCAUGCCAAUGAGGUGCCACUGACAGACACAUAUUGUACCAGAGCCAACUGAGCGGGAUCAUGGGAACUCAUGAAUAGCCUCCUGGGGGUGGGUCGGGAGACCGGGAUGGCAGCACUUACAAAGCGCUAUUGAGGUUGCUUCACCGGGCGCUAGACUGGCACAGAAUCAAGUGACAUGUGGCCUAUAAAGAGUACAGGGAGGCAGGAAGUAUGCAUGCUACAGACUGAUAAAGUGAAACAGACUGACUUUGAUCAUGUUUGACUUGAUGCCUUAACAUUCACUGCUUUAAAUGCCAUGCAUCUAUCCAUCCGUCCGUUCUCUAUACCGCUUGGGCUUAUCCGUUGUUUCUUUCUUCUCCCCUUUAAGACUAUUAUAACACUCAUUGAUUUUCUCAUUUGAUUUUUUCAUUAACAACUCUAUUCAAUGUGCACAGAUCAAAUUCGUAAAACACCAAUGUCUUGUGUUAUAAUGGACAAAUACGUGCUGAAUUCACAAUGUGCUUUCAAUUACAAAGUGGCCAAACACUUGACUGAGAGUUAAUUUCAUAGCUUGUGAUUUGUGAUGCGGGCCGGUGAAUAGUAGAAAUGACAGUUCAAAGUUGCCAUCAGGAAGUCAGACUAGAAUAGCCAUUGACCCUGCUGAUCUGAAUUGUAGAAAUUCUUUGGUAAGACUCAUCUCCGACAUACAUGAGGCAGAAAAAGAGAACUAGACUUUCACAAUUUACUGUGACUAAGGUUUCCAGUUGACUUUUUUAAGUAGGUAAGGUGGUGUUCUAUGAAUCAUUUCAUAAGAGUCAUUAGAGAGCUGGAAAUUGUGAGACAUCAGGGGAGCUAUAUCAACAGUCAAUCAGUAUGGUAGCCAGAGGGACUGAAAUCAAAGUUGGAUUUGGGAUUUAUAUAUACUGCAGGACUACUUCUGAUAUUUUUGUAUCUUUUCUGCCCUCUGGUGUUUAAAUAUUGCAGUAACAUUUGUGCAGAGUAAAAAAAGAAGCCAAAGGUAAGGAGAAAUGCUGCAGUGCUGAAUACACAUAAUCAACGGCACUACUUUGUAGAAAUGUUUAAACAACAAUUAAACUAUUGACAUUAUAUGCAUUUGGCAGACGCUUUUAUCCAAAGCGACUUACAUAGGAAUAUAUUUUUUUUUCAUUCUAAGUAUGUGCAAUCACCUGGGAUCGAACCCAUGACCUUGCGUCAUUAAAAAAGUUUGUUUUGCAUAACCAUCUCCACCAGUUAAUAGACUGGAAAUUAAUAGGCCUACACCAAAAGUGGUGGAUAUGACUGUGGAUUUUAGGAGGACUCCCUCCCCUCACCAUUCUCAAUAGCACUGUGACGGCAGCUGUGGAGUCAUUCAGUUUCCUGGGCAAUACCAUCUCACAGGUCCUGAAGUGGGAGACCCACAUUGUCAAAAAAGCUCAGCAAAGGCUGUACUUCCUUCGCCUACCACACAAGCUGAUGGAACAAUUCUACAUAGCUGUGAUUGAAUCAGUCCCCCACAUCUGUUACAGUAAGAUUUGGUUCAGCCAUCAAAUCAGACACAAGUAGAAAAAUAUAAGAAUUAAUAAGGAUUGUGGUAGAGACAGGCAAAAAAUCUGCUAAUGGAGUUAGAAAAAUUGACUUGAAAUAGGUACUUGAGAAAAAGGUCAAACUUUCUUACCCCAUUUGCAGAUUUGUUUGCUUUUUUUUGCCAUGGCUUUAAUUAAUUACUAUACUGUUUUUCAGAAAACAAGACUAAAUAUCUGAAAUCAAUAUACAAUUACUUUACAAGAAAAGUGAGCCCAAGAUAUUUAGUCUUGUUUUCCACUGCAAAAAACAACAUAUUUACUAUCGGUACUGUAUGUCAUUUGUGUACUGUACGUUGUUACAACCAUAAAAUUAUGUAUUUACAUAACGUGUAAAACUUAUAUCGCAUUUAACAAGAGAGGUUAUGCACUGCAAAAAAUGACAUCUUUACUAAG